CCCUCCUCUCGUUCGUCCCCGUAGCCUCCGCCGUGCUGAUGGCUCUCUGCGCCUACGGUCUGUCCCACAGGAGAGCUCUGGGCAAAUUCAUCUGCCGCAACGCUGUCAACAAGGAUGGCAAUAAGGAUUUGCACUAUGUCAGUCUUCAGCUGCAUGGAAAAGCCUGCCCCCCUCGGCAGAGGGAGACCCCGCCCCUUCCCAG